rnacentral:lncRNA from 1 species
UUUUUUUUAAUUUCUUCUUUUUAUUUUGCAACAUGAGGAAUUUGGUCGCGACUUUCAAGGCAUGAAGCGACUUUCCAAAAAUUGGGCCCAUCUCAAUCACAACGCGGGACACUUCUAGCAACGCUAGGGUCACGUUUUAAGGGAUGAAAUGGCCGUUAAUUGCUAGGUUAAGUGUGGAUUUGGAUUAUUUCUAGAAAUAA